UACGUAGGGGGCAAGCGUUGUUCGGAAUUACUGGGCGUAAAGCGCACGUAGGCGGCUUUGCAAGUCAGAGGUGAAAGCCCGGGGCUCAACCCCGGAAUAGCCUUUGAGACUGCAUCGCUAGAAUUGUGGAGAGGUAAGUGGAAUUCCGAGUGUAGAGGUGAAAUUCGUAGAUAUUCGGAAGAACACCAGUGGCGAAGGCGACUUACUGGACACAUAUUGACGCUGAGGUGCGAAAGCGUGGGGAGCAAACAGG
rnacentral:rRNA from 1 species